GUUAGGUUUAAGCAGUGACACGCAACCCCAGUCUUGUGGUGCCUCAGAUGGUCUGUAGACAUUUCUAGAGGGAGCCCAGGUGGUGCCGCGGCUGCUGGUCUGGGGGACACCCCUGCAGGAAAGCAAUGGCAAUGGAUUCAGAUCUAAGGCGGUUGGUCACUUCAUAGGUGCGCAGGGUGACGCCGAAAAUAUCCUCAUGGUACCGGUUGUCAUCCUAGAGACAGAAACGGCCAACAACAGUCCUUUACUGCCAGCCAAGGAACCGCACACCAGCAAUCCGGAACGGGAGAAGUCCUGGGGGACACUCGGGUCCAGGACUGACUCACAGACCCUCUCCUGGGCGGGCGCUGUGGGCUCUGAGGAUAGAAGUGAGGGGGGCAAAUGGAAACCUGGUCAUCUCCUCCUACCCUCCUCCGCCCGGCCCUGCAAGUUCAGAUCUGGGCAAAGCUGGGCUUGCUGGGAAACCUCGUAGCCUGCAAAGAUGGGAGGAAAGAAGUGCCUGCACAGGACUCUGGCAACACCCCACAGCUGCACCAGGGGAGACUAUGAAAGUGACUCCUGAGGGUAAGACCAAAGAGACUGAGUGCUGGGACUCCACAGCCAUCCUAAAAUCUGACAUUUUUACCAGAAAGUUCUCCCUGUCCCUCCCUUUUUAAACUACUGGGAGUUUAGUCCCUGAUUUAGAAUCAGGGAUUCUUCUGUAAAGAUGUUUGAUUAGUGCUCCUGCAAGGAAGCAGAGGGGAGGGUGGGGUCAUUCCUGGAGCUUGGUGAAGUUCUGGAGCUGAGAUUUUCCUAUUUGGGGCAGUUGGUUACACAGUUAGGACUUUGUUUGCUGGGUUGCUCCUAGCUUCUGUCCUGUCUUUGUGUAAACUAGGAAAAGGCAUGCCUCCUUGGGGUGGGCACAGCUCCAUACCAAGGCGAGCAGCUUGGAGAAUCAAGCUUGGGUGAUUUUCAGCUCCCACUUGCCCCCCUUUGGGCAGGCCUUUUUGUGCAGUGCCCAACUGGCACAACUGCCCGGGGUAGUGCUUCUGCGGGCAGGAAAGUUGGUUUACGAUGGUUUUGAUCUCGCUACCAGAUGGUCCACCGUCUUGUUACAUCACACACUGCAGCCCCUGACCAUAGCUAAUAUAGCACCUGCACGUCCUUCCUUCUCUCAACUAUGGGUUGGGGCCACCUAUAUCCUCCACUCCCAGGACAAUGGGAGCAGGGAUGCCAUCCUGGCUCCCCUCAUCAUGGAGACAGGCGGGUGAGGAGGAGGAAGCGGGGAGCCAGGUGCCAGAAAAGGGGUGCAGGAAGCCAGUGCCUCACUCACCCUCAGCCUGCUGAUGAACACUCCUGCGUCCUCAGCCGAGAGCUUCCCCUGCUGAGCCAUGAUGUGCUGGACGGCUUUGAGGACGUCGGCGGCCAUGGUGACAUCCCCGCACACGUAGAUGUGGCCCCCUUGCUCCUUCAGGGCUCGGUACACGGGCUCUGCCAGCUGCUCCUGCAGGAUGUCUUGCACGUACUUCUGCAGGGAGCAGGGUACAGCCAGUGAGAGAACUGGGCACUGAUGGGCCUGGGGCACAACGACCGACCAGUGCCUCUUCCCCUGCAGUCAGUGGUCCCCACGGGGUAGAAAGACUUGUCCAGUUGUAGGUUCGGGUUGGUGGCUGCAGGGUUGGGGUACAGGGGAAGAUGCCAGGGAAGCCCAGGGCAGACGGCAAGCAGUGAG